rnacentral:rRNA from 1 species
CAUCGGGAAGAGGGAAAAGGAGCAAUCCGCUUUGAGAUGGCCUCGCGUCCGAUUAGCUGGUUGGUGAGGUAACGGCCCACCAAGGCGACGAUCGGUAGCCGGACUGAGAGGUUGAACGGCCACAUUGGGACUGAGACACGGCCCAGACUCCUACGGGAGGCAGCAGUGGGGAAUAUUGCACAAUGGGGGAAACCCUGAUGCAGCGACGCCGCGUGGAGGAAGAAGGUCUUCGGAUUGUAAACUCCUGUUGUUGAGGAAGAUAAUGACGGUACUCAACAAGGAAGUGACGGCUAACUACGUGCCAGCAGCCGCGGUAAAACGUAGGUCACAAGCGUUGUCCGGAAUUACUGGGUGUAAAGGGAGCGCAGGCGGGCGAUCAAGUUGGAAGUGAAAUCCAUGGGCUCAACCCAUGAACUGCUUUCAAAACUGGUCGUCUUGAGUAGUGCAGAGGUAGGCGGAAUUCCCGGUGUAGCGGUGGAAUGCGUAGAUAUCGGGAGGAACACCAGUGGCGAAGGCGGCCUACUGGGCACCAACUGACGCUGAGGCUCGAAAGUGUGGGUAGCAAACAGGAUUAGAUACCCUGGUAGUCCACACCGUA